UCAUUCUUCAUUUUAUUUAUGUUAUGAAAUUUUUCUUCUUCUCUUCUUUCGGCAUCUGGCCAAAUCCUGACUAAAUUCUUGUUUUUCUUUUCUUUAGUUAACACUAACCUGAUGGGACAUAUUGAUCGCAUGGGUAUCAAAUUCCGAGGGAGAGCUCAGAGACAAAAAUUUGAAGAACUUGCUGAGAGAGAGAUGCACCCAAAUUUUUAUG
rnacentral:lncRNA from 1 species